AAGCAAAAAGUAAAAAUUACAUUUAGUUUCGACCUAAAAUUAGGGUAAAUUAACCCUUUGCUUA
rnacentral:tRNA from 2 species